UAAAGAUAGAUCAAGAAGACGAGAAUAAUAAUAUUAACAGCCAAGAUAAGAUUAGCACCACCAAGAAGAACAAGAAGAAAAAUCAGGUGUUGCUGGAGGGAUACGUGGAGGCGGUUGAUGAGGAGGAUGAACUGAAGAGGACAAAGAGCUUGACCGGUGAUGAUCUAGACGAACUAAAGGGGUGUUUAGAUCUGGGGUUUGGCUUCAGCUACGAGGAGAUUCCUGAGCUUUGCAACACCUUGCCUGCACUUGAGCUAUGUUACUCUAUGUCUCAGAAGUACUUGGAUGACCACCAGCACCAUGCAUCUCCAGACACCACCGCUACCCCCGAACCCGUCGCCAAUUGGAAGAUCUCUAGUCCUGGUCAGUCUUUUCUCUUUUUUACCAUCUUUCUUUGUUUUAUUUUUCUAUUUGUCAUCAGAUCUUGUUGUGCUCGUUUUUACAAGGACUUUGAGUGAUGAUAAGCUUUUGUUUCUUGCUUUUCUUUCCCACUUGUUGUAGUGUUAUAUCAUACAUGACAUGCUUUUCUUUGCUAGAUGAAAUUAGGAUUGAGCCAAAAAGAAUUGAAAAACUGAUUCAAAUCGAUUCAUUCGGCUUAGUUUAGAUUCAGGAAUUGAAAGCCCACACUUGGGGUUCCUUUAUUCAAAUAAAUACUUGGUUUCUUACACAAACACAAUAAUCAAGGUUGAUUUGCAUUGAUGCUGAGAAAUCCAAGAAACUAAUAUUUUGCCAUCUGCUCAAAGUUUACAAAUCUUUUCACAGAAAAGGGGAAAAAAAAAAAGCAGGAACAUUGUGCAAUUUGUUUUUCAUAGAACAGUAGUACUCGCAAGUUGGAUGCAUCUAGCCUGUGCAAAACCAUGUAUAGAUGGUCGACUUCGCUUAGGGAACGAGUUUUAACCUUGUGUAUGCAUUACAGGUGACCAUCCAGAAGAUGUUAAAGCAAGGCUUAAAUUCUGGGCACAAGCUGUGGCCUGCACUGUCAAACUGUGCAACUAAAAGAUUCAUGAACAAUCAUUGGAAAAAUGAGAAUGAAUAUUUUUCUCAUUGAUGAGCAUCAACUGGAUAAAACCCUACGCUCUGCCGAACCAUGCCAUGGUGGGG
rnacentral:lncRNA from 1 species